UACUGAGACCAGGACCUUACAUCUGUGC
rnacentral:piRNA from 3 species